rnacentral:rRNA from 1 species
ACGAGAAAGUGGAGCAAUCCAUGAGUAAAGUGGCGUACGGGUGAGUAACACGUGGGUAAUCUACCUCUUAGUGGGGAAUAACCUGGGGAAACCCGGGCUAAUACCGCAUAAGCUCGAGAGAGGAAAGCAGCAAUGCGCUGAGAGAGGAGCCCGCGGCCGAUUAGCUAGUUGGGAGGGUAAAAGCCUACCAAGGCAAAGAUCGGUAGCCGGCCUGAGAGGGCACACGGCCACACUGGCACUGAAACACGGGCCAGACUCCUACGGGAGGCAGCAGUGGGGAAUCUUGCACAAUGGGGGAAACCCUGAUGCAGCGACGCCGCGUGAGCGAUGAAGCCCUUCGGGGUGUAAAGCUCUUUCGGCAGGGAAGAUGAUGACGGUACCUGCAGAAGCAGCUGCGGCUAACUACGUGCCAGCAGCCGCGGUAAUACGUAGGCAGCGAGCGUUGUUCGGAGUUACUGGGCGUAAAGGGUGUGUAGGCGGUUCUUUAAGUUUGGUGUGAAAUCUCCCGGCUCAACCGGGAGGGUGCGCCGAAUACUGAGGGACUCGAGUGCGGGAGAGGAAAGUGGAAUUCCUGGUGUAGCGGUGAAAUGCGUAGAUAUCAGGAGGAACACCGGUGGGUGUAGACGGCUUUCUGGACCGUAACUGACGCUGAGACACGAAAGCGUGGGUAGCAAACAGGAUUAGAUACCCUGGUAGUCCACGCCCUAACGAUGCAUAUUUUGGUGUGGGUCAUUCAGUUGAUCCGUGCCGGAGCUAACGCG